ACAAGAUCAAUUCAGGCACAGCUCUGAGCCUUUGGCUCUUGUCUGACCUUUACUGUGGGUGUGCUUGCACCCAGUGCUGGCUCUGACCGUUCAUCUGGUUGGACCUCUAGCUUUGCCUCCUGCUCCUUGGGACUGGACUCUGAAGUGUCCUCUGGACCUGAUCCUUUAGCUUGCCCUAUAAAACACAAGUUAUGCUUAUCAUAAAGCAAUAUUUAGUCUCCACUCAUCCCAUGUACAAUAGGUACAAGCCUCUGGCAGUCAAAGCAAACACUGAUGAAGAUGAUGGCUCACCAAGUUUGGAGGUAACCUUUGCCAAGGUUAGCUGAGCAGCUGUCACUGGGCUUGUUCAGCUUAGAGAACGCUGAGUGGAGACCUCGGUGGAGCCCAGGACUUUCUCAAGGGGACAAUGGGAAGGGAAGUGCUGAUCAUCUCCCCCUGGUGACCAGCAAGAGGACUGGAAGGAAGCUGCAUCAGGAGAAGUUCAGAUUCAACAUUUGGAAAAGCUCCUUCACUGAGAAGAUGGUUAGGUGCUGGAGCAGAGUCCCCAGGGAAGGGUUGUGGGACCAAGCCUGAGAGUUCAACUAGUGUCUGGAGGAUGCUGUCAUAUAUUUUAGCAUUAGGUAGUCCUAUGAGGGGCAGGGAACUGAGCUGAAUGAUCCCUAUGGGUCCCUUCCUAUUUGAGAUAUCUUAUGAUUUAUAAAGCCCAAAACACUCCUACUGGCUUUAUGAAGGCAUUGCUAUUGUAGGAACAAGGUCUUCCCAGGAGAAAAAUGAACAAUAUGGAAGGCUACAUUUGCUGAUCGAACUCUAAUCAUGAUUUUAGAAAGACAGAGCAAUUUGCAGCCAGUUGAGUAUCAGGAAGUAAUGCUGCUUGAUGAGUUGGCAGGACUUGCAUGCUCUUUCCCCAGCUUUGCCUGGCGGCUGAUGGAUCAGCCGUGCUGCUAACAGACAACGUGGCCUCUGACCACGGGUGGAGCAGCCCAACAGCCCAAAAGAAGGUGUGCUCUUGCAAGCUGAUUAGAGAAUUGGAAAAAUGAUGUUUCACUGACUUAUACACAGGGCUUCUGUAGCCUUCAUAAUGUAGUCAAUUCCCUGGACUGCAGAAAGAGUUGAGCCCCUCAGAAAUACAUCACAACAUAUUCAAGGCUGAUGGUGGAAUUCCGUUUUUAAGCCUACCUAGUGGAGUACCCAGCUGAAGAGGACAAAAAGUUGUUCUGUAGUGUUUUCUUUCAAAAGAAAAGAAAUCUAUUCAAAACAAUCAUCAAGCUAUUUUUGGUGUGGUUUGUCCCAAACAGCCCCGUGCAGAUGAUUAUAAGCUGCAUUUGUCUCUGCUCCUUGUUUCACAUGGAACAAGGUACUGUGGCUGCUCCUCUGAUCUCUACAAGGGCUCAAAUCCUGACAUGGAGAAGAGAAAUUCACUUGGGUCUCACAGGCUCUGAUUCAGCCCCCAAAACACCUCAGCACCUCAUUUGCCUGCUGUUCUUUCUCAAGCUGAACUUCCUGAAGAAGCCAUGAUAUGCAAGUAUCUCUGUCCCAGAGCAGUACAGCUCAGAGCAAGACCCCCAACACUCAGAAAAUGUGCCUGCCUCACCACAACCCCUUCAGCAAGAAGCCAGGUAAAAGUCUCAAGUAGCAUCCUUAAAAGUUCCCAAAAGUCUUGUGAGCAUCUAUAAAAUAUAAAACCAAAAUAUUAAAACACAGCAGAUGUGGUUCAAGCAUUUCUACAGACUUGAAGCGAUGCUUCCAUAACCAUCUAUUGCUUCUGGAGUGAGAAACUGGGGAAUGGUUAAGCUUUCUUGAGUGCUCCACAAAGGCAGUCAGCCCCAUGGGAACUGUUUUAAGGGCAAGUCCUCUGUCAAGAUGUUGAGUGGGGAAAGCCUCUGUACACAGAGGGUCACUGCAGUCAUCCCAUCUCUUGAAGUUUGUGGUCUUAGAUCUUGUGGAUCUGAUGUCAUUUGGGAAUGUUUGCUUUUGUUUUUGGCAAGCAUGUUUGCUAAAUCCAUUUUACUUGACUUCUUGCAAUGCAGUGUUUGUGCACAGUCUCCUUAUGCUCUUUGUACCAUGGUCACCAUCUGAUUUCUUCUAAGAGUGCAUCAAGCAACUCAACUAGUUAUCAUAUUUGUACACAGGAAUAUUUGAGGGGACUUUUACUUCUCCAGACACAAGUGCUCAUCUAUUCAUUAAAUGCAUUUACAAAAAAAAAAAAAAAAACACACCAAAAACAAAACUAAACAAAAAAAACACAAACCAAAAGAACAG